rnacentral:rRNA from 1 species
GAUAUGGCUCAGGAUGAACGCUAGCUACAGGCUUAACACAUGCAAGUCGAGGGGCAGCAUGGUCUUAGCUUGCUAAGGCUGAUGGCGACCGGCGCACGGGUGAGUAACACGUAUCCAACCUGCCGUCUACUCUUGGCCAGCCUUCUGAAAGGAAGAUUAAUCCAGGAUGGCAUCAUGAGUUCACAUGUCCGCAUGAUUAAAGGUAUUUUCCGGUAGACGAUGGGGA